UAACAACUCNCCUGCCGAAGCAACUAGCCNUGAAAAUGGAUGGCGCUCUAGCGUCGUGCCUAUACCGGGCCGUCAACGGCAAAGUGGGCGUCCUCCCUUCAAGGGCGGAGCCGUUACGCCUUGACGAGUAGGAGGGUCGCGGCGGUGUGCGCAGAAGGGUCGGGGCGUGAGCCCGCCUGGAGCCGCCGUCGGCGCAGAUCUUGGUGGUAGUAGCAAAUACUCUAGCGAGGGCCUGGAGGACUGACGUGGAGAAGGGUUUCUUGUGAACAGCCGUUGCACAAGAGUCAGUCGACCCUAAGCCCUAGGAGAAAUCCGAUGUUGAUGGGUGGCUGGACACAAAAAAAGACGGCCCCAGAUAGACGUCUCUAACCCUGCUCCUUCAUCUCGUCCGCGAGAGAUAGAUGCCUGUGGAAGGGUCCUCUCUUUCUGUGGGCCCAUUGUGACAAACCAUCCCGUCGGGCAAAAGGGAAUCCGGUUCCUAUUCCGGAACCCGGCUGCGGAACCGUCACUCUGCGGGCACUCGCCUGCGAGCGCUCGUCGGGGUAACCCAAACUGGCCCGGAGACGCCGGCGGGGGGUCUGGAAAGAGUUUUCUUUUCUUUAUAAGCGUUCGAGUACCCUGGAAUCCUAUAGCAGGGAGAUAGGGUUUGGAACGCGAAGAGCACCGCAGUUGCGGCGGUGUCCGGACCUUCCCCCCGGACCUUGAAAAUCCGGGUGAGGGCUACGCGGAAGUCGCGCCGGAUCGUACCCAUAUCCGCAGCAGGUCUCCAAGGUUAAGAGCCUCUAGUCGAUAGAAUAAUGUAGGUAAGGGAAGUCGGCAAA
rnacentral:rRNA from 1 species